GGUUGUAGCUCAGUGGUAGAGCACUUGCCUGGCAUGUGUGAGGCACUGGGUUUGAUCCUUAGCAUCA
rnacentral:tRNA from 1 species